GUGCACCAGUCGCGAAUCUUCCCCAAUGGACGAAAGUCUGAGGGAGCGACGCCGCGUGAAUGAAGAAGCCCUUCGGGGUGUAAAAUUCUUUCUUUAGGAAAAUUCGUGAUGGUACUAAAGGAAUAAGGGGCCGCCAAACUCGUGCCAGCAGCGGCGGUAAAUACGAGUGCCCCGAGCGUUAUCCGGAAUUACUGGGCGUAAAGCGCUAAAAGGCGGUUUUGAUAAGUCAGACGUCAAAUCUCCGAGCUCAACUCGGAGCCGGUGUCUGAAACUGUCUAACUUGAGGACGGAAGAGGCAAGCGGAAUGGCUGGUGUAGCAGUAAAAUGCGUUAAUAUCAGCUAGAACA
rnacentral:rRNA from 1 species